CCUACGGGAGGCAGCAGUGAGGAAUAUUGGUCAAUGGGCGUAAGCCUGAACCAGCCAAGUCGCGUGAGGGAUGACGGUCCUAUGGAUUGUAAACCUCUUUUAUCAGGGAGUAAAAUGCGCCACGUGUGGCGUUUCGUAAGUACCUGAUGAAUAAGCAUCGGCUAACUCCGUGCCAGCAGCCGCGGUAAUACGGAGGAUCCGAGCGUUAUCCGGAUUUAUUGGGUUUAAAGGGUGCGUAGGCGGGAUGUUAAGUCAGCGGUGAAAUUCAGUGGCUCAACCAUAGAAGUGCCGUUGAAACUGGUUGUCUUGAGUGUGCGAGAGGUAUGCGGAAUGCGUGGUGUAGCGGUGAAAUGCUUAGAUAUCACGCAGAACCCCGAUUGCGAAGGCAGCAUAC
rnacentral:rRNA from 1 species